rnacentral:rRNA from 1 species
AGAGUUCGAUCAUGGCUCAGAUUGAACGCUGGCGGCAGGCCUAACACAUGCAAGUCGAGCGCGAAAGGCUUUCGGGCUGAGUAGAGCGGCGGACGGGUGAGUAACGCGUAGGAAUCUACCUGGUAGUGGGGGACAACUUGGGGAAACUCAAGCUAAUACCGCAUACGCCCCACGGGGGAAAGCGGGGGACCUUCGGGCCUCGCGCUAUCAGAUGAGCCUGCGUAGGAUUAGCUAGUUGGUGAGGUAAAGGCUCACCAAGGCGACGAUCCUUAGCUGGUCUGAGAGGAUGAUCAGCCACACUGGGACUGAGACACGGCCCAGACUCCUACGGGAGGCAGCAGUGGGGAAUAUUGCGCAAUGGGGGCAACCCUGACGCAGCCAUGCCGCGUGUGUGAAGAAGGCCUUCGGGUUGUAAAGCACUUUAAGUGGGGAGAAAAGGGUAGCGGUUAAUAGCCGUUACCUGUGAUGUUACCCACAGAAUAAGCACCGGCUAACUCCGUGCCAGCAGCCGCGGUAAUACGGAGGGUGCGAGCGUUAAUCGGAAUUACUGGGCGUAAGGCGCGCGUAGGCGGUUUGUUAAGUCAGCUGUGAAAGCCCCGGGCUCAACCUGGGAACUGCAGUUGAUACUGGCCGACUAGAGUACGAGAGAGGGAGGUAGAAUUCCAUGUGUAGCGGUGAAAUGCGUAGAUAUAUGGAGGAAUACCGGUGGCGAAGGCGGCCUCCUGGCUCGAUACUGACGCUGAGGUGCGAAAGCGUGGGGAUCAAACAGGAUUAGAUACCCUGGUAGUCCACGCCGUAAACGAUGUCUACUAGCCGUUGGGAGACUUGAUUUCUUAGUGGCGCAGCUAACGCAAUAAGUAGACCGCCUGGGGAGUACGGCCGCAAGGUUAAAACUCAAAUGAAUUGACGGGGGCCCGCACAAGCGGUGGAGCAUGUGGUUUAAUUCGAUGCAACGCGAAGAACCUUACCAGGUCUUGACAUCCUCGGAACUUUCCAGAGAUGGAUUGGUGCCUUCGGGAACCGAGAGACAGGUGCUGCAUGGCUGUCGUCAGCUCGUGUCGUGAGAUGUUGGGUUAAGUCCCGUAACGAGCGCAACCCUUGUCCUUAGUUGCCAGCACGUAUGGUGGGAACUCUAAGGAGACUGCCGGUGACAAACCGGAGGAAGGUGGGGACGACGUCAAGUCAUCAUGGCCCUUACGACCUGGGCUACACACGUGCUACAAUGGAACGCACAGAGGGCAGCAAAAGCGCGAGCUGGAGCCAAUCCCACAAAACGUUUCGUAGUCCGGAUCGGAGUCUGCGACUCGACUCCGUGAAGUCGGAAUCGCUAGUAAUCGUGGAUCAGAAUGCCACGGUGAAUACGUUCCCGGGCCUUGUACACACCGCCCGUCACACCAUGGGAGUGGGUUGCUCCAGAAGUGGUUAGCCUAACCUUCGGGGGGGCGAUCACCACGGAGUGAUUCAUGACUGGGGUGAAGUCGUAACAAGGUA